GAUGAAGAACGCAGCGAAAUGCGAUAAGUAAUGUGAAUUGCAGAAUUCAGUGAAUCAUCGAGUCUUUGAACGCACAUUGCGCCCCCUGGUAUUCCGGGGGGCAUGCCUGUCCCAGCGUCAUUGCCGCCCUCAAGCACGGCUUGUGUGUUGGGCCCCCGCCCCCCGGCUUCGGGGGGCGGGCCCGAAAGGCAGCGGCGGCACCGCGUCCGGUCCUCGAGCGUAUGGGGCUUCGUCACCCGCUCUGUAGGCCCGGCCGGCGCCCGCCGGCGACCCCAAUCAAUCUUUCCAGGUUGACCUCGGAUCAGGUAGGGAUACCCGCUGAACUUAAGCAUAUCAAUAAGCGGAGGA
rnacentral:misc_RNA from 1 species